rnacentral:rRNA from 1 species
CAAAUGACUYUCGGCAAUGGAUAUCUCGGCUCUUGCAUCGAUGAAGAACGUAGUGAAAUGCGAUACUUGGUGUGAAUUGCAGAAUCUCGUGAACCAUUGAGUCUUUGAACGCAAGUUGUGCCUGAGGCCUUGUGGUCGAGGGCACGCCUGCUUGGGCGUCAUGGC